AGCUCAAAAGUUGCGCCAAGUAAUUGCGCAGAGAGUGAUACAACUGUUCCAGAUUCUCCUGCUCGAGCUGAAAAGUUUGCUGAAAGUUGGAACCUCUUAAGAUAUGGGGAGAUUCUUGAGGACUUGAAGAAUGAUUCGAAGAGCCAUGGGGAGAUUCU